rnacentral:rRNA from 1 species
AGUGAACGCUGGCGGUAGGCCUAACACAUGCAAGUCGAACGGCAGCACAGUAAGAGCUUGCUCUUACGGGUGGCGAGUGGCGGACGGGUGAGGAAUACAUCGGAAUCUACUUUUUCGUGGGGGAUAACGUAGGGAAACUUACGCUAAUACCGCAUACGACCUACGGGUGAAAGCAGGGGAUCUUCGGACCUUGCGCGAUUGAAUGAGCCGAUGUCGGAUUAGCUAGUUGGCGGGGUAAAGGCCCACCAAGGCGACGCUCCGUAGCUGGUCUGAGAGGAUGAUCGGCCACACUGGAACUGGGACACGGUCCAGACUCCUACGGGAGGCAGCAGUGGGGAAUAUUGGACAAUGGGGGCAAGCCUGAUCCAGCCGUACCGCGUGGGUGAAGAAGGCCUUCGGGUUGUAAAGCCCUUUUGUUGGGAAAGAAAAGCAGCAGGUUAAUACCCCGCUGUUCUGACGGUACCCAAAGAAUAAGCACCGGCUAACUUCGUG